rnacentral:rRNA from 1 species
UUACGGGAGGCAGCAGUGGGGAAUAUUGCACAAUGGGCGAAAGCCUGAUGCAGCGACGCCGCGUGAGGGAUGACGGCCUUCGGGUUGUAAACCUCUUUCAGCAGGGACGAAGCGCAAGUGACGGUACCUGCAGAAGAAGCACCGGCUAACUACGUGCCAGCAGCCGCGGUAAUACGUAGGGUGCAAGCGUUGUCCGGAAUUACUGGGCGUAAAGAGUUCGUAGGCGGUUUGUCGCGUCGUUUGUGAAAACUCACAGCUCAACUGUGAGCCUGCAGGCGAUACGGGCAGACUUGAGUACUGCAGGGGAGACUGGAAUUCCUGGUGUAGCGGUGAAAUGCGCAGAUAUCAGGAGGAACACCGGUGGCGAAGGCGGGUCUCUGGGCAGUAACUGACGCUGAGGAACGAAAGCGUGGGUAGCGAACAGGAUUAGAUACCCUGGUAGA